GAGGACUACCGGGGUUUCUAAUCCUGUUUGCUCCCCACGCUUUCGCGCCUCAGCGUCAGUUACAGACCAAAGAGUCGCCUUCGCCACUGGUGUUCCUCCACAUCUCUACGCAUUUCACCGCUACACAUGGAAUUCCACUCUUCUCUUCUGUACUCAAGCCUUCCAGUUUCCAAUGACCCUCCCCGGUUGAGCCGGGGGCUUUCACAUCAGACUUAAAAGGCCGCCUGCGCGCGCUUUACGCCCAAUAAUUCCGGACAACGCUUGCCACCUACGUAUUACCGCGGCGGCUGGCACC
rnacentral:misc_RNA from 1 species